UACGGAGGGUGCAAACGUUGUCCGGAAUCACUGGGCGUAAAGAGCAUGUAGGUGGUUUAGUAAGUGAGCGAUUAAAGACCGACGCCUAACGUCGGGAAGGUUGCUCAUACUGCUAGACUUGAGUAUGGCAGGGGUAAGCGGAACUUUAGGUGUAGGAGUGAAAUCCGUAGAGAUCGGAAAGAACACCAACGGCGAAAGCACUCUGCUGGGCCGACACUGACACUGAGAGACGAAAGCUAGGGGAGCGAAUGGG
rnacentral:rRNA from 1 species